rnacentral:rRNA from 1 species
AGUAACGCGUGGGGGGAUGUGCCUUGAGGUGGGGAAUAACUGGUGGGAAACUACAGCUAAUACCGCAUAAGCCCGAAAGGGGAAAGAUUUAUCGCCUUUAGAGCAACCCGCGUCAGAUUAGCUAGUUGGUAGGGUAAUGGCCUACCAAGGCGACGAUCUGUAGCUGGUCUGAGAGGAUGACCAGCCACACUGGGACUGAGACACGGCCCAGACUCCUACGGGAGGCAGCAGUGGGGAAUAUUGGACAAUGGGCGCAAGCCUGAUCCAGCCAUGCCGCGUGAGUGAUGACGGCCUUAGGGUUGUAAAGCUCUUUUAACAGGGACGAUAAUGACGGUACCUGUAGAAUAAGCCCCGGCAAACUUCGUGCCAGCAGCCGCGGUAAUACGAAGGGGGCUAGCGUUGUUCGGAAUUACUGGGCGUAAAGCGCACGUAGGCGGAUUGUUAAGUCGGGGGUGAAAUCCUGAGGCUCAACCUCAGAACUGCCUUCGAUACUGGCGAUCUUGAGUUCGGAAGAGGUUGGUGGAACAGCUAGUGUAGAGGUGAAAUUCGUAGAUAUUAGCUAGAACACCAGUGGCGAAGGCGGCCAACUGGUCCGAUACUGACGCUGAGGUGCGAAAGCGUGNGGAGCAAACAGGAUUAGAUACCCUGGUAGUCCACGCCGUANACGAUGAAUGCCAGCCGUCGGGGAGCUUGCUCUUCGGUGGCGCAGCUAACGCUUUAAGCAUUCCGCCUGGGGAGUACGGU